UACGAAGGUUGCGAGCGUUGUUCGGAUUUAUUGGGCGUAAAGGGUUCGUAGGCGGCUUGAAAAGUCAGAUGUGAAAUCCCACAUGUCAACUGUGGAACUGCAUUUGAAACUUUCGAGCUGGAGUGUGAGAGGGGUGAAGAGAAUUCCGGGUGUAAGGGUGAAAUCUGCAGAGAUCCGGAGGAAUACCAGUCGCGAAGGCGCUUCACUGGCUCACUACUGACGCUGAGGGACGAAAGCUAGGGUAGCAAACGGG
rnacentral:rRNA from 1 species